rnacentral:rRNA from 1 species
UACGUAGGGUGCGAGCGUUAAUCGGAAUUACUGGGCGUAAAGCGUGCGCAGGCGGUUCGUUAAGACAGAUGUGAAAUCCCCGGCUAACCUGGGAACUGCAUUUGUGACUGGCGAGCUAGAGUAUGGCAGAGGGGGUAGAAUUCCACGUGUAGCAGUGAAAUGCGUAGAGAUGUGGAGGAAUACCGAUGGCGAAGGCAGCCCCUGGGCCAAUACGUGACGCUCAUGCACGAAAGCGUGGGGAGCAAACAGG